UCUUCAAAACGCCAAUAUUUCAAUUUACAAAUUUCAAUUUCUCUGCUUCUAGCCUCUGCUGAGCAGCAAAACAAUGGACCACAUGGAAAAAACCCCAAAGCCUCAAGUAUUUUUAUGCUGGCUUCAUUUUGUGAUCUGGCACACUGUGGGCUCAGCCAAGCACCAGUGAAAGAGAUACAGCAUGAGGAUUUAGCUGGAUCUGGUGUACAGGCUGCUUCUUUUGCAAGGAUGAACUAUCUCCCUUCCCAGCUUUCCAUCUUCUCCAUUUACUUCCUUCCUGGCAGAGCUGGAGUGCCUCAAGUGAACUAAUGAAGAUUCUAUUGCUUUCUUCUACUGCAGAACAGCUUUCUGGCAUGCUAGCCAAGGAACCUGUCUGAAAAUAUAUUACAGAGUGAACCUGCAAGGAGAAAAAAAGAAAAAAAACCCUACUGCAGCUCUGCCAGAGCCUCCUGGCCCUGCUUUAGCAGCUCUGCCUCCCUGUAGAUGCUCAAAUGGCUAUGUAGAUAAAGAAAAUGUAUACUGCAACAGGCAGAAAAAUUCUACAGCUUGCGUGUUACAAAGUACUUUGAUAUGUUUUUAUUACUGUAAUUCAUCUGCUCCUGGGGGAGAAGGACAAACAAGAACCAAAGUUCUAAGGUUUUAUCAAGGGCUUAUGCUUCAAUGGACUUUUGAUCCAAAGCAAUAACACGACUGGUUGUAGAAAGAUCGAAAUUUAAAUAAAAUAGUUAAUGAUUUUCGUUCA